CUCACGGAGUACGCCGCGUGAGUGAAGAAGGCUUUCGGGUCGUAAAACUCUGUUGUUAGGGAAGAACAAGUACGAGAGUAACUGCUUGUACCUUGACGGUACCUAACCAGAAAGCCACGGCUAACUACGUGCCAGCAGCCGCGGUAAUACGUAGGUGGGCAAGCGUUAUCCGGAAUUAUUGGGCGUAAAGCGCGCGCAGGCGGUUUCUUAAGUCUGAUGUGAAAGCCCACGGCUCAACCGUGGAGGGUCAUUGGAAACUGGGGAACUUGAGUGCAGAAGAGAAAAGCGGAAUUCCACGUGUAGCGGUGAAAUGCGUAGAGAUGUGAGGAACACCAGUGGCGAAGGCGGCUUUUUGGUCUGUAACUGACGCUGAGGCGCGAAAGCGUGGGGAGCAAACAGGAUUAGAUACCCUGGUAGUCCACGCCGUAAACGAUGAGUGCUAAGUGUUAGAGGGUUUCCGCCCUUUAGUGCUGCAGCUAACGCAUUAAGCACUCCGCCUGGGGAGUACGGUCGCAAGACUGAAACUCAAAGGAAUUGACGGGGGCCCCGCACAACCG
rnacentral:rRNA from 2 species